rnacentral:rRNA from 1 species
GAUGAACGCUGGCGGCGUGCUUAACACAUGCAAGUCGAACGGGAAACCUUUUAAUGAAGCUUCGGCAGAUUUAGCUGGUUUCUAGUGGCGGACGGGUGAGUAACGCGUGGGUAACCUGCCUUAUACAGGGGGAUAACAGUCAGAAAUGACUGCUAAUACCGCAUAAGCGCACAGGACCGCAUGGUCCGGUGUGAAAAACUCCGGUGGUAUAAGAUGGACCCGCGUUGGAUUAGCUUGUUGGUGGGGUAACGGCUCACCAAGGCGACGAUCCAUAGCCGGCCUGAGAGGGUGAACGGCCACAUUGGGACUGAGACACGGCCCAGACUCCGACGGGGGGCAGCAGUGGGGAAUAUGGCACAAUGGGGGAAACCCUGAUGCAGCGACGCCGCGUGAAGGAAGAAGUAUCUCGGUAUGUAAACUUCUAUCAGCAGGGAAGAUAGUGACGGUACCUGACUAAGAAGCCCCGGCGAACUACGU